rnacentral:piRNA from 1 species
UCCCAGGGUUAUUGUUGCCUCAGCAAC